CUUAGGAUGGAUCUGSGCCGAUUAGGUCGUUGUUGGGGUAACGGCCCAACAAGCCGAUAAUCGGUACGGGUUGUGGAGCAAGAGCCCGGAGUUGGAUUCUGAGACACGAAUCCAGGCCCUACGGGGCGCAGCAGGCGCGAAAACUUUACAAUGCGGGCAACCGUGAUAAGGGAACCUCGAGUGCCUGUACAUGCAGGCUGUCUGGGUGUCUAAAACACACCCAAAGAAAGGGCCGGGCAAGACCGGUGCCAGCCGCCGCGGUAAUACCGGCGGCUCGAGUGGUGGCCACUUUUAUUGGGCUUAAAGCGUUCGUAGCUGGGUUGUUAAGUCUCUUGGGAAAUCUGGCAGCUUAACUGUCAGGCGUCUAAGAGAUACUGGCAAUCUAGGAACCGGGAGAGGUGAGGGGUACUUCGGGGGUAGGAGUGAAAUCCUGUAAUCCUCGAGGGACCACCUGUGGCGAAGGCGCCUCACCAGAACGGCUUCGACAGUGAGGGACGAAAGCUGGGGGAGCAAACCGGAUUAGAUACCCGGGUAGUCCCAGCCGUAAACGAUGCGCGUUAGGUGUGUCGAUGACCACGAGUCAUCGAGGUGCCGAAGGGAAACCGUGAAACGCGCCGCCUGGGAAGUACGGUCGCAAGGCUGAAACUUAAAGGAAUUGGCGGGGGAG
rnacentral:rRNA from 1 species